rnacentral:rRNA from 1 species
AACGAACGCUGGCGGCAUGCCUAACACAUGCAAGUCGAACGAGACCUUCGGGUCUAGUGGCGCACGGGUGCGUAACGCGUGGGAACCUGCCCUUAGGUUCGGAAUAACUCCCCGAAAGGGGUGCUAAUACCGGAUAAUGUCUUCGGACCAAAGAUUGAUCGCCUUUGGAUGGGCCCGCGUUGGAUUAGCUAGUUGGUAGGGUAAAAGCCUACCAAGGCGACGAUCCAUAGCUGGUCUGAGAGGAUGAGCAGCCACACUGGGACUGAGACACGGCCCAGACUCCUACGGAAUGCAGCAGUGGGGGAUAUUGGACAAUGGGCGAGAGCCUGAUCCAGCAAUGCCGCGUGAGUGAUGAAGGCCUUAGGGUUGUAAAGCUCUUUUACCCGGGAUGAUAAUGACAGUACCGGGAGAAUAAGCACCGGCUAACUCCGUG